rnacentral:rRNA from 1 species
ACGAUGACUCUCGGCAAUGGAUAUCUCGGCUCUCGCAUCGAUGAAGAACGUAGCGAAAUGCGAUACCUGGUGCAAAUUGCAGAAUCCCGUGAACCAUCGAGACUUUGAACGCAAGUUGCGCCCGAGGCCACCCGGUCGAGGGCAUGCCUGCAUGGGCGUCACGC